GAUGAACGCUGGCGGCGUGCCUAAUACAUGCAAGUCGAGCGAACAGAUAAGGAGCUUGCUCCUUUGACGUUAGCGGCGGACGGGUGAGUAACACGUGGGUAACCUACCUAUAAGACUGGAAUAACUCCGGGAAACCGGGGCUAAUGCCGGAUAACAUUUAGAACCGCAUGGUUCUAAGUGAAAGAUAGUUUUGCUAUCACUUAUAGAUGGACCCGCGCCGUAUUAGCUAGUUGGUAAGGUAACGGCUUACCAAGGCAACGAUACGUAGCCGACCUGAGAGGGUGAUCGGCCACACUGGAACUGAGACACGGUCCAGACUCCUACGGGAGGCAGCAGUAGGGAAUCUUCCGCAAUGGGCGAAAGCCUGACGGAGCAACGCCGCGUGAGUGAUGAAGGUCUUCGGAUCGUAAAACUCUGUUAUUAGGGAAGAACAAAUGUGUAAGUAACUGUGCACGUCUUGACGGUACCUAAUCAGAAAGCCACGGCUAACUACGUG
rnacentral:rRNA from 1 species